GUCCACACCCUGUCAAUAAUCGAGAUUUUAUCCUUAAUAAAUUUGGUUGCUUCUUCCAAAUAGCUAAGCAACCCUGUUAUAUUAUCAGUAUUGUGAUCAGGUGCACCUAACAAGACCCGGUGCAACUGCAGGUAUCAACACACCGACGUUUUGUGCUAACAACUUGUGUGACUUUCAUUGAAGUAUUUCAUUUGAUAAAAUUCAGUGCUAGCAUAUAAGCUAGAUAAUAACUAACAAAAUAAUUGUUUAUUGAGAGGUGUACAAUUUUGGUCAGCUUUAUGUUAUUUUAUGUUAUACUGAUCAGAGAGAAGAUUCUAUCAUUUCCAUUCUACUUGAAUCUUGUUUUCAGUAAGGAAAGUAAGUUGGAUAGGUCACAUUAUGAGUGAUCUGGCCAGGCUCUUCCAGAUUGUCUAUCACAAGACUUGUACAGCGCUGCUCAUCCUAUGGAAAACUGUAAAGGAAGCCAAGACUCUGAAACUCUGGAAAAGUCUUGUUUGCACCCUGUGGACAACUUAUGGUCAAUUAUCUGUGGAUGAACCUUGGUGCUUGACCUCUGGAUGAGCCUUUUUGUAUGUGGUCUGUGGACAAGCCUUGGUACAUGGCCUGUGGAAAAGCCUUCUGACUUGGCCCUAAGAAAAGCUGUGGUACGUGGGUGUGGACAAGUCUUGGUUGUGGGAAAUCGGCAAAUUAUUUUGUUCUUGCAUCCCAUUCAGGGACAUGUCAAAGGUGAGAAAUGUUUAACAGUCCACAAGACCUGGUUUUCCUGAACUGACCAGAUUUUGAUGCAACUUUGUUAUAUUUUCCUAAGCACCUUGCAGAGGACGUGGCUCAGACAAAGGACAAGUUUUAUCAAAGUCAAAAGAAUGUUGGACGAGAUCGCUUGCUCGUGGAAAGACUUAAAGAGUUGUACUAAUAAAUGUCUGGGGCCAGGAAACCCAUAAUGUUUCAACCCAAAUACUUUGGACAUCGUCAGAUCUGUCAAGGCCGGAGAGGUUUUCCUCGAGGUUGCCGAAGCGAGUGGUUUGAAUUGAAUUUGAGAACGAAGAGGGAUGGAUGAAUGAAUGUCAUUUUGUCACGACUUUUCUCAAGAGUUAAUAGAGGGAACUGGUUAUGAAAGCCGGCGAACUUCAAACGAUAAGAACAAUUGGAGCCCUCUGAGGUUGAAGGGUUCCCUCUAUAAACUCUGGUAUACGGUUUCUUUGAUAUUGGCUUUUCUCCAAGACAGCGAUAUGGGAUGAAAAAAUCUUGAAAUCAAGUACUGUAACGGAUGAAAGAGGAAAGGAUGACAUCCAUAAAGACUGGUGCAAGAACCAAACAAAAAAAGGGUGUGAUCCAAGUGAAAUUCAGAUGUAGCUCAUUUUUCUCAAGAAUACAGCGAGGUAGAGCCAAGUUAUUCGUUAAAAUCGACGACUUGAGGCUAGACGUAAGCGAAUGUGAUUUCGC